rnacentral:rRNA from 1 species
UACGUAGGGUGCAGGCGUUAAUCGGAAUUACUGGGCGUAAAGCGUGCGCAGGCGGUCUUUUAAGUCAGAUGUGAAAUCCCCGGGCUUAACCUGGGAACUGCGUUUGAAACUGGAAGGCUUGAGUGUGGCAGAGGGGGGGUGGAAUUCCGCGUGUAGCAGUGAAAUGCGUAGAUAUGCGGAGGAACACCGAUGGCGAAGGCAAUCCCCUGGACCUGUACUGACGCUCAUGCACGAAAGCGUGGGGAGCAAACAGG